UACAUGGGGUGCAAACGUUGCUCGGAAUUAUUGGGCGUAAAGCGCGCGUAGGCGGUUACUUAAGUCGGAUGUGAAAGCCCUCGGCUUAACUGAGGAAGUGCACCCGAAACUGAGUAGCUAGAGUACGAAAGAGGGUCGCGGAAUUCCACGUGUAGCGGUGAAAUGCGUAGAGAUGUGGAGGAACACCGGUGGCGAAGGCGACCACCUGGACAGAGAUUGACGCUGAGGCGCGAGAGCGUGGGGAGCAAACAGG
rnacentral:rRNA from 1 species